GCUCUGUUAUACACACAGACACAUUACUGGGAGUAUUAUUGUUGUGGAGCUCUGUUAUACACACAGACACAUUACUGGGAGUAUUAUUACUGUGGGGCUCUGUUAUACACUCAGUCACGUUACUGGGAGUAUUAUUACUGUGGAGCUCUGUUAUACACUCAGACAGAUUACUGGGAGUAUUAUUGCUGGGGUGCUCUGUUAUACACUCAGACACAUUACUGGAAGUAUUAUUGCUGUGGAGCUCUG